UACGUAGGGUGCGAGCGUUGUCCGGAAUUAUUGGGCGUAAAGAGCUCGUAGGCGGUCUGUCGCGUCGAUCGUGAAAACUUGGGGCUUAACCCUGAGCUUGCGGUCGAUACGGGCAUGACUGGAGUUCGGCAGGGGAGACUGGAAUUCCUGGUGUAGCGGUGAAAUGCGCAGAUAUCAGGAGGAACACCGGUGGCGAAGGCGGCUCUCUGGGACGGUACUGACGCUGAGACGCGAAAGCGUGGGGAGCAAACGGG
rnacentral:rRNA from 1 species